UCUUGAUCUCACUACAAGUGCUGGGAUUAAAGGCAUGCACCAACACACCCAACUACUUUUCCUGUUAAAAACAGCUCUUGUGACCAAGAGUGAAGCAACGGAAAUUGGUGUCCAGCCAGCCCUAGCCCAGGAUCUGUUGGAAACUGAUCACUACUGGACUUAUGCACUUAACUGUCGGGAUGCUCUAUCCAGAGUCUUCUAGUAAUUGCUCUAUUGACACAGACUACCACACCCAGUUGAUGGAGCUGGCCAUCUGAUGAACUUACAGUUUAGACAUCAGCCUUGACCAUGCUGCGCAUCUGCAUUCCAGAACCAGAGAACCAGCGAGUCAUCCAUGUGUGGUGCUGAGCCAGGAAG